UAAACACACAACUCGUAAGGAUCCAAUUUGUUUUAUAUUAUAUUAGUGUUAAAAAGUGUAAUUGAUUUUGUUAACCUGUUUUAUACUUGAAUGCACGAACGUUUUUAUUAUUAAAUAAAUUAAUUGAAAGGAUUCGAAGAUUAAUCGUAGCUCCAGUAUCUUUAUCAAGUAUUUAAAUCAUCAGAGCUGAUAUAACUUGAGAUAAGGACAUUGAAUUAAAAUGAUUCAACAGUGCAACGAUGCAACGAUGCAACGAUGGAACAAUUCAUUCAAUACUAAUCAAUUUCACGACAUCAUUCAAUCAACAGCGAGGAGGACAAGUAUUUUAGAACCAUCGUAGAACUUCUCAGGCCAAUUAUUUAUGCUGCAUUUUUAUUCGCAACAGUUAGUAACGAAAUUUCUAGAAGUUUCGAAAAGAGUCUGACGGAUGGACCCGGCGGCAGGCACUUUUCUCAUGAAUGAACGUAGGGGUUGGGGUGGUUCUACACUUAUACACCAACAAGAAGCACCGCCUGAAGUGUGAAACACGGGGGCCCGUACAAAACUCUAACCGGACGGACGUUUUACGAGCUACCAUCUGGAAAAUGCUUCUUCUUCUUCUUCUUCUUCUACUUCUGCUUCUUCGGUGAGUUGUAUUAACCGACAAACUUCCGCGACUAUUACACACGAGACUAUGGGAUAUACAACGAAUGGAAAAAAAGAAAAAGAAAAAAGGGAAGAGGGAAUGAGAGAGGAUCAACUGAACAUGGAAAACAGAAAGGAAACGCUUUGAAAUUCGACUCGAAUUAGGAACUGUACGUCAAGUCACGGCAAUGUUUCUUUUUGAGAUAAACCCAAGACACCCCUUCGCGUUAAUUCCCGUCUUAAGAACGCCCACGCGUUUCUCAAAAAAGAAACAAAAAAAUGAAAAAGUGGUGGGGAGGUGAGAACGCGUGCGAACGAGCGAGCGUUUGAAUAUUUGGUAUAAACUAUAUUAUAUCGUUGAUAAUUUUAUCUAAACGUUUUAAAAGAAAAAUUCUAUGAAGAAAAAAUAUCUAUCGGCACAGGAUAGUUUCGUAGUGUUUGAUCCUUCGAAGGGGGUAGUUACGUUGCUUGACUUUAUAUUAUCCCCGUCUAGACUCAACAGCUCCGAGUGUCACGAACGUGCCCAAGUACCAUCUUACCUUUUUAUAUGAGAUAUAGAAAAAAAAAAAAAAAA